rnacentral:rRNA from 1 species
UCGGGAAUUUUGGGCAAUGGGCGAAAGCCUGACCCAGCAACGCCGCGUGAAGGAUGAAAUCCCUCGGGAUGUAAACUUCGCAAGAACGGGAAGAAUAAGUAGGGGACAAUACCCCCUAUGAUGACGGUACCGUUUGUAAGCUCCGGCUAACUCCGUGCCAGCAGCCGCGGUAAUACGGGGGGAGCAAGCGUUGUUCGGAUUUACUGGGCGUAAAGGGCGCGUAGGCGGUCAGCACAAGUCGGUUGUGAAAUCUCCGAGCUUAACUCGGAAAGGUCAACCGAAACUGUGCGACUAGAGUGCGGAAGGGGCAACUGGAAUUCGUGGUGUAGCGGUGAAAUGCGUAGAUAUCAAGAGGAACACCUGCGGCGAAGGCGGGUUGCUGGGCCGACACUGACGCUGAAGCGCGAAAGCCAGGGGAGCGAACGG